rnacentral:sRNA from 1 species
CCAGACGUCGUGGUUGUUCGGUCCUAUGUCGCGCCGGGCCCUCCGGAGGCUGAGGGGGGAACAGCGCGGCCAGGAGCCCCUCGGGCCCGGCGCCCUGCAGUUCGAUCUCCGUGAUGACGAUGACGCGGAAGAAGAAGGGCCCAAGCGGGAGCUUGGUGUCCGGCGUCCCGGGGGCGCAGGGAAGGAGGGCGUCCGAGUCAACAACCGCUUCGAGCUGAGAAGAGGUUUCGCCUUGUUGCCCAGGCUGGUCUAGAACUUCUGCGCUCAAACAAUC